GUGACGUAAGCAACAGGACUUGUGUAACAGACUAACAGUUAUGCACAUUUCAAAAGCCAUAUACCACAGGUUUUGCACAAUUGUAAAGCAUUUAUAUAUAAUAUCAUUAACAAAUAGAUCACAUGUAUCGUUAUCACUAAAAAGGUAAUUAGUGAUAGAAAUUAUUCUUGUGCAUUAAAAUAAAGGAUAAACUACACAAACCACCAAUUUCUUUAUUAACUUUCUGAUGUGUAUUAAUGGCAUUGUAUUUUUACAUGUAAGAAACAAUAACUUAAUUGACAAAAUAUAAAA